GAUGAACGCUGGCGGCGUGCCUAAUACAUGCCAGUCGAGCGAACGGACGAGAAGCUUGCUUCUCUGAUGUUAGCGGCGGACGGGUGAGUAACACGUGGAUAACCUACCUAUAAGACUGGGAUAACUUCGGGAAACCGGAGUUAAUACCGGAUAAUAUUUUGAACCGCAUGGUUCAAAAGUGAAAGACGGUCUUGCUGUCACUUAUAGAUGGAUCCGCGUUGCAUUAGCUAGUUGGUAAGGUAACGGCUUACCAAGGCAACGAUGCAUAGCCGACCUGAGAGGGUGAUCAGCCACACUGGAACUGAGACACGGUCCAGACUCCUACGGGAGGCAGCAGUAGGGAAUCUUGCGCAAUGGGCGAAAGCCUGACGGAGCAACGCCGCGUGAGUGAUGAAGGUCUUCGGAUCGUAAAACUCUGUUAUUAGGGAAGAACAUAUGUGUAAGUAACUGUGCACAUCUUGACGGUACCUAAUCAGAAAGCCACGGCUAACUACGUG
rnacentral:rRNA from 1 species